CUCUUCUUCUUUCUCUCCCAACCCUUGUACCAGUGUCAGUUGUAACACCUACUGGUACAGAGGAUGGAAGGGGAAG
rfam:Ophiophagus hannah scaffold456.1, whole genome shotgun sequence.